rnacentral:rRNA from 1 species
UACGUACGAGGCGAGCGUUAUCCGGAAUUACUGGGCGUAAAGCGCGCGCAGGUGGCCAAUUAAGUCCGCUGUGAAAUCUCCCGGCCCAACUGGGAGGGGCCAGUGGAUACUGGAUGGCUUGAGGGCAGCAGAGGUCGGUGGAAUUCCUGGUGUAGUGGUGAAAUGCGUAGAGAUCAGGAGGAACACCGGUGGCGAAGGCGGCCGACUGGGCUGCCACUGACGCUGAGGCGCGAAAGCUCGGGGAGCGAACGGG